UGUACUGCAUAUGUGUGGGAUCUAGGUUGUACAGUCCUUAUGGGAAUCUAACUAAUGCCUGAUGAUCUGAGGUGGAACAGUUUCAUCCCAAAAUCAUCCCCUCU